GGUUGUGGGUCGUACCUUCGAAGAGAAGACACCACCAUGUGGUCAAAUCUCGCCAGGGUAUGACUUUUUUCCAUACUGAAGAAAACUUCUCUGUAAAAACAGGUUAACGGUACACUUUCUCGCCUCAUGGGCGCAAUGUUUAGGGAGGUUUGUUUCAUGCAACAAGGUAUCGUAAAAUGGUUCAACGCGGAGAAAGGAUACGGCUUCAUCCAAGUAGAAGGCGGAGAUGACGUAUUCGUACACUACAGCGCAAUCCAGACAGAAGGCUUCAAAACCCUGGAAGAAGGCCAAAAAGUAGAAUUCGAAAUCGUUCAAGGUAGCCGUGGUCCUCAAGCUGCCAACGUUGCAAAACUGUAAAUAUUGGCAGAUACGAAAAGCAGUCUCUCGUUUGAGGGACUGCUUUUU
rnacentral:sRNA from 1 species